UACGUAGGGGGCGAGCGUUAUCCGGAUUCACUGGGUGUAAAGGGAGCGUAGACGGCCAUGCAAGCCAGGGGUGAAAGCCCGGGGCCCAACCCCGGGACUGCCCUUGGAACUGCAUGGCUGGAGUGCGGGAGGGGCAGGCGGAAUUCCUGGUGUAGCGGUGAAAUGCGUAGAGAUCGGGAGGAACACCAGUGGCGAAGGCGGCCUACUGGGCUUUAACUGACGCUGAGGCACGAAAGCAUGGGUAGCAAACAGG
rnacentral:rRNA from 1 species